CCCCGUUUCCCUGAGUUAAAUUUAGAAUUUAUUUUCAAAAUUUAGAAGUAAGAUGAUUCACGCCGGAUAUAAAGAAAAUGAAUUUAUUUUAAUUCCAACAAACGAUUUGCAAAAUCCUCUUUGUAAAUGUUAGUCAUUUAAAUUCUUAUGCAUUUCAUAUUUAUUUAAAUUGAAUAUUAAGCAUUUAACAUCUACACGAGCUAUUUAUUUAAGCAAACACUGAACGAUUAUUACAGUUUUCAUAAUACAACCCGGAAGACCUUAUUUUAUAUUACUCUCCCACCUACUUCCUUCCACCUACUCCCUCUCACACCCACCUACUCCCUUCUUUUUGCAAACUUAAUAUAGCUGGUUGAUCCGAGCUUCCAUUUUCUAUCCUCCACAAUCAUCCCACAUAUUUCAUCUCCCUCAUCAAUUUUCAGCACAUCAGCUACUGAACAAAUUCAGAAGAUUUGCAGAAUGAUAACCCAACAGAUUUCUUUUGAAGGCUUUGUGGACCAAGGGGAUUAGCGCUGCUUUCCCAAGACAGGUUAUGUGAUUAUGAUCUUCAGGCUUUGCCUAAUCAGGUUGAGCAGUUGAUGGAAUGGAAUGAUGUUGAGCGGGUGUUCCUUUGACAUUUCAAGAAAUGUAACCUUGAGUAUACAUCUUCAUAUGUAUAUCUCACACGUUUUCCGCUGCAAAACACUUCGAUUAGGAUAGCUCUAUGAUAUGAAGUUGUGAUACGUGUUAUUGGGUAACCACCUUAAUCAGUUCUCAAUUAUGUGUAUGUUUUAUAAGUAUCCAAAUAAUCAUAUAUGAUCCUAGUAUUUUAUCUAUGAGUGACAUUUCCAUAUACUUUAAUGUUAA